rnacentral:rRNA from 1 species
CUUUACUGUAACUUGAAGUUGAAAUUGGACUUUAUUUGCGCAGUAUAGGUGGGAGGUGUUGAGAAGAAUCUUGCGGGAUUCUUGGAGCCAUCAGUGAGAUACCACUCUUGUAAUGUUAGAUUUCUAACUUUGUAUCAUUAUCUGGUCAAAGAACAGUUUCAGGCGGGCAGUUUGACUGGGGCGGUCGCCUCCUAAACGGUAACGGAGGCGCACAAAGGUUUCCUCUGAACGGGUAGAAAUCGUAUCUAGAGUGUAAAGGCAUAAGGAAGCUUGACUGUGAGACCUACAAGUCGAGCAGGGACGAAAGUCGGUCUUAGUGAUCUGACGGUGCUGAGUGGAAAGGCCGUCACUCAACGGAUAAAAGUUA